GUCGCCGUUAGUACUGCGUGGAAUGCACCGGAUCCCGUCUAAACUCCUAGGUUGAGCGGCGCAAGGCCCGGUUAGUACUCCGGUGGGUGACUCCACGGGAACCCCUUUGGGUGAUGAUGGCC
rnacentral:rRNA from 1 species